GCACCAGAAGGUAAGGAAGCCAGGAAAUUGCUUUGAUGAUGCCGUUGUGAUAUGCCAGUUAUUAAGACUGAAUCACAUGUAAUUCCAAUAUUCUACCACUUUUGACCUAUAACAUCAUUAGAUUCAUUCACGUUUGAGGUGAUGGUAGGGUGUCCAAAUGGAGAGGUCUGGUAAGUAAACGAAGACGGAGGACACAGAUUUUCUGAGAGUAAAGUAUUAGAGAAAAAUGUGAGUAUCUAGAUAAAAGUAGGUACUUUCCAUUCUGUAUUUCCUGGAUGAUUUCAUUUCCUUUCAAGGUUGAAGCUGUCACUUGCUAAAGGCUUUAACCACCACAUUUAUUUCUAAGCUCCACACUCUUAUAUUCAACUGCUCACGGGACCUCUGCCUUCAGAUAUCCCAAUGGACUCUUCCAACUCAUGUCCAAAUAGGUGAAAAUCCUAUUCUUCAAAGCAGGUGGACUUAGCCAAAGAAGAACCCUUGAGUGAUGGAGAGGCCUUGCUUAUUGUGAUGUCUGCUCUUACCAGAAGUGAGAAUGGAAAGCUGUAAAUCAUAUGUACUCUUCCUCUAGAAGCAAACUUUCCUGCUGUGUUGGGCAGACCCAACAGGCAAAUCCACUUUGCCAGCAGUAAUACCACCAUCCAGAUCCUGAUGAACCUCUAGGAAAAAAAAAAAAGAGAUUCUUUUGUCAGACACAGAUCCUGAGGUUUUUCCUCCAGUGCAGUCAGAUGAAAGAGAGGACUCCUCUCCUGGCUCGACCCAUAACGCCGGCUCUGUCUGCCCACCAUGUCCGUUGCCAAAAGCUGGAGAAGCAGCGAGGAGCCAUCACAGAUAUGGGAGUGAUCUGUCCCCGGCCAUUGUCAUGAUCCCUUGGACAUCCUCCUCCUGGGCAUGUGAAUGGAUUUGGAGAUAGUUUGUGAGCAUCUUUUUUUCCUGUUUUUAUAAACUGUUCUCUGUUUUCUACUGAAUCUUCAAACACAGCUUGGGUCUUACCAUUGGCUGUUUCAAGGAUAGUGUUUUCCUGCUUCUGGAGAACUUAAAAAACAGACCAUACUUCUGUUUUUCUGAGAAUUUAGUUCUUCUAUAUAUAAGGAGAUUAAAAACACUUUCUAAAUCUGUAGUCCUUAAGUUUAUCUUCCCUCUUCAGCUUCACCAGGAAGCCAACACGACCCAUGUGCUUCAGGGUGGAGGUAAGAGGUGAGAGGUAAAGUGAAAAGAUUGUUCUGAACUUCGGUGUCUGCCAAGCUUUUCAGUCCCUGAGCCUGGGGGACUGCUACAGUAAUCUAAAAUCAACAGAAGAGAGCCAGGGCCAAGUGCAUGGCAGGAAUCAGGGUCAUGAGUUACAAACUGAUCUGGGAGUGAAAUUAUGAGUCUACAUAAAGCUUUCACAGGGCUUGAUUCCAGGAAAUGAAGGGAAUACAUUUCUAGGGUAGUUAAUUUAAGGUUGGAGCUUUCAGAACUCUAACACCUUUUCGUUUUCCCUACGUGGGGGUUGGGAAUGUGAUGGGCACUCAUCCACAUUAUUUUCUGCUCUGGAGGGAGUUCCCCACUGCAUGUAGUAUUGGGGAGGUGCAGUGGUCUGUGUUGUGUCAAGGGUGAUCCCCCUCUCCCUAGCUCAGACAUCCAGGGUAUGGAGCAGGACCUAGGCUCAGCCGGUCAGCCCCUCCUCUCUGGGAUUUUGAAUAUCAAGGGAGUGAAGCAAAGAUUCAAGGAUAGUCCAGAGGCCACUUGUGGUGACAAUGUUAUGCUGUGGACAGCAGUGGGCAUGCACACUGUCCUGUGGCAUGACCUUGGCUGUGGUCCUUACUGCUCAUUCUCUCUUGACCUCCAGCCCAUUUCCUGAACCUUGUUCUCCAGCCCUCCCGUCCCUCCUGUGAACUAUUCAACAUCCUUCCACUACAUUCCAGCUUAGAUAAAGUUAGGCAGGGCUUGCCUCUGUUGCCUGCAACCAAGGGUUAGAUUAGGCAAUCUGAUGUUCCUGUCUUCAAAUCCGAAGAGAUGUUCCCUCUGCUCCUAGUUGGUCUCUGUUAAGAAUGGUCUGGAAGUAAGCCUGCUAAACCCUUUCACAUAAGAGCCCCUGUAUGGAGAGAUUUUAAGACAAACCUAGAGUCAAGGGUUUGGGGUAUGUUCCCAGAGUGGACACAGCUAACUUAAUAUAGAGAGAAAUUUCAUCAAGUAUUGGCUCUAAAUACUCAACUUUUGCAGGCGUGACUCCCAGGCCACAAAUCUAGGUGGCAAAAGAUACUGAGUUUUUUCAUGGAUUUAAAUCACUGAAUUUCAACUUGACAUUUUCCAAAGCAGCAAGAAGGACAUGUGUUCCUAGGCAGAACUGACUUUCUCUAGAGCCCCUUCACCCCAAGGGUCAUUUGGAAGCCCAGGGUCUCAGAGAGACCAGAUAUGGGGGGAAGCCCUGUGGCCAUCAGUCCCUGAAUUGUACCGGUGACUGCUGAGACACCCAUUGUCGUGGCCGGGGCAGUCCCUUCAGUCGUGCUGGUUGUUUUCUUCCCUGAGGCACUUGAAACAUUGGGAUCUUUGGCAAGGCUGCUGCCUAGGGUUCUGUCUCCUCAGGUGUGCCACGAAGCUGAGCCAUUGAAGAUUUGGUCACCUCCUUGGGGCACUAGUACGGAGAUGGCUCUGGUCCCUGAUGCUGGAGGAAUGCAUAGACCUCUGUCCCUCUCUCUCAUCUCCCAGAAUGUUUUAUGUCUGAUGAACAUUCCACUUUCUUCAGGUUUCCCUUACGGAACCCCCAACCCCAAUAUAUUAAUCAAUGGCUUAAGCUUUUGAAAACAAAAGGCAAGAAGGGACCAUCUCACGGGCAACUUGUGUUUCUGCCCUGCCACAAACCUCCUUUGAGACAAGGAAGUACAGAACCCGAUCUUCACUCAAAUAGGACAAGUGAGAGGAACCACCACACGGUGUGGGAGGGGAAUAAAAACACAUUCAUAGAUUAAAAAAAAGUCUGGCCAAUAACAUUUAAAAUUAAUAAGGGGAAAAAUAAUAUAGAAGUGCUAGAAUGCUAUCAGCUGACAAAUAGAAGGGUUAAUUGGAUUUGUAUUUGGUGUCACUAUCUCCUGUGAUUUCUUAAAGUUUCAUAAGAGAUGCAAUCUCAUUCUGAGCUAUUCUGGUAUGAAUAAUGUCACUCCUUCCUUUCCCACCCCAACUUCUUAGUGUCAGGAAUGAGGAGUGUUUCUUGUCUAUAUUCUGUAAACCAAGUCAGCAACUUGAGCUCUAAUUAAUACAGGACCUCCCCUCCAGCUGGAAGCAAAUAUUUGUGUUACAAAUGAAAUAGUGUGUAAUCCAUAGUCGAGUUUCUUAUUGAGUCCCUGUUCCUGCUUCUUUGAACAGAAUCCACUUACGAUAGGCUUUCCAAUCUUGGGUAGUAAGAUGGCUAAGGGGAAGUAUCUCUGCUGGUAUGAGAGCCUAGUGAUUCACUGAUACAUUUAAAAUAAGCAUAUAUCAAAAUUAAUAACAGAAAUAUCUUAUGAUCCAAUAAUUCUAUACUGCAUA